GACGAACGCUGGAGGCGUGCUUAACACAUGCAAGUCGAACGAUGAAAUGGAGCUUGCUCCAUGGAUUAGUGGCGAACGGGUGAGUAACACGUGAAUAACCUGCCCUUAAUUUUGGAAUAACCCAGGGAAACCUGGGCUAAUACCGGAUAAGUAAACCUGUGGCAUCACAUGGUUUUGGAAAGUUUUUCGAGUAAGGAUGGAUUCGCGGCCUAUCAGCUUGUUGGUGAGGUAAUGGCUCACCAAGGCGACGACGGGUAGCCGGCCUGAGAGGGUGAAAGGCCACACUGGGACUGAGACACGGCCCAGACUCCUACGGGAGGCAGCAGUGGGGAAUAUUGCGCAAUGGACGAAAGUCUGACGCAGCGACGCCUCGUGAGGGACGAAGGUCUUCGGAUUGUAAACCCCUUUCAGCAGGGACGAAGCGAAAGUGACGGUACCUGCAGAAGAAGCACCGGCUAACUAUGUGCCAGCAGCCGCCGCAG
rnacentral:rRNA from 1 species